rnacentral:lncRNA from 1 species
CCCUGCAGAGGAUCCUGAGACAGCCCGUGGAUGUCCCACUGCCUCUGCCCACAGCUACCAUGAAGGUCUCCACCGCUGCCCUUGCUGUCAUCCUCGCCAUGGCCGCCCUCUGCGCUCCGGCAUCAGCCUCCCCAUAUGCCUCGGACACCACACCCUGCUGUUUUUCCUACCUCUCCCGACCGCUGCCCCGCGCCCACCUCCAGGAAUAUUUCUACACCAGCAGCAAGUGCUCCAUGGCAGCAGUCGUCUUUAUCACCAGAAAGAACCGCCAGGUGUGUGCCAACCCAGAGAAGAAAUGGGUGCGGGAGUACAUCAACUCCUUGGAGUUGAGCUAGGAUGGAGGAAGCCUUGAGCCUGAACUCGUGCAAACUUUCCUACUGCUUCUUGCUCUUGUCCCAGCCAGCUUGGGAGGCUCUCCCCUGGCCCCAUGCCCUCCCCCCACCUCCUCCUGGGAGGGCACAGACUCCACCACUUACAGCAGCUGCUGUAAAACCUCCCAGGGCUCCUGGGGGUCUCCUGCCUUGUGCCCAGAAGAUCUCUAGGCUCCGAACUUUGGACCCUUGGCACAGCCACGACUCUGCAGUCAGGAAGGACAGUCAGCACCUCUGGAGGUGAAGAGGAGAGGGAGAAGGGGCUCCUACACCCUCCAUGGCCAGAGCACCCACCCUGGCCUCUCACUGGGAAAGGAUGACUGGCAAAUGUGAGAAAUCAGCUUUCCAUUAAAAUCCUCAAUGCAAUUGCAAA